GCGUAACCCAAUAAAAAAUUUUUUGGAUCCUUGGGUCAUGAUUGAACGCCCCCUUAAUUGGCUUAACACAUGCUGGUCGAGGGGCAGCAUGAUCUUACCUUGUUAAGGUCGAUGGCGACCGGCGCACGGGUGCGUAACGCGUAUGCAACUUGCCUUACAGAGGGGGAUAACCCGUUGAAAGACGGACUAAAACCGCAUACACUUGUAUUAUUGCAUGAUAUUACAAGGAAAUAUUUAUAGCUGUAAGAUAGGCAUGCGUCCCAUUAGCUUGUUGGUGAGGUAACGGCUCACCAAGGCGACGAUGGGUAGGGGAACUGAGAGGUUUAUCCCCCACACUGGUACUGAGACACGGACCAGACUCCUACGGGAGGCAGCAGUGAGGAAUAUUGGUCAAUGGGCGAGAGCCUGAACCAGCCAAGUCGCGUGAAGGAAGACUGUCCUAAGGAUUGUAAACUUCUUUUAUACGGGAAUAACGGGCGAUACGAGUAUUGCAUUGAAUGUACCGUAAGAAUAAGCAUCGGCUAACUCCGUGCCAGCAGCCGCGGUAAUACGGAGGAUGCGAGCGUUAUCCGGAUUUAUUGGGUUUAAAGGG
rnacentral:rRNA from 1 species